rnacentral:rRNA from 1 species
UACGGGGGGGGGCAAGCGUUGUUCGGAAUUACUGGGCGUAAAGGGCGCGUAGGCGGCCUGCUAAGUCGAACGUGAAAUCCCCGGGCUCAACCCGGGAACUGCGUCCGAUACUGGCAGGCUUGAAUCCGGGAGAGGGAUGUGGAAUUCCAGGUGUAGCGGUGAAAUGCGUAGAUAUCUGGAGGAACACCGGUGGCGAAGGCGGCAUCCUGGACCGGUAUUGACGCUGAGGCACGAAAGCGUGGGGAGCAAACAGG